AAGGGAGAGAGAAAGAGUUAAAAAAAAUAUUUCGAAACUAGUCGAAAUCAUUUAUAGUCAGGAGGCGAACGGACAUUAAUUUCUCCGUUAUCUGUAGAAGAAAUGACCUUCUCUUUACCAGACAUUUCUCCCUUAGAGACGAACUUCUCAUAUCGACCCGUUAGGAUGAUGUCGGACGUCUCGAACCCCAUAGGACGUAGCCCUGUAUCCAUGAGCCUCUGUCAACUGCAUCGCGCAUGCCCGUUAUGUUGAUUACGUUAGAAGACUGGAUGAAUCGUGCGCAGUUGUCGCUACUUGUAGCUGCUCGAACAUGGCGGAUCGCGCGCUUAGAUCACACCCCGUCACUCUCCACAGACACAACUAGAUAUGUUCUGGGUAGUACAUCAGGUUUCAGACCCCGUCCAGCAGGCCCAAUAAAUAUUUCAGGUCCGUUCUUUGUCAUGUGGUGGUGACUUCU